UAAGAAAAGAAGUCUGCAAUUUACAGCUAAUUCUAUGAUGAAAGUUGAAAGAUUAGAUAUUCUUAAUUCGGUGAUCUGUUACAAUUAAACUAUUUGUUAUCUAAUCUACGGCUCCUAUACUCAUGAUGAAUGUUGGAUAACAAUUCACGAAUUUCCCACCAAGUUUCUAAACAAAUAUUUCGAUGCUUAGUUCAAGAAUUUGUCAACUGGAAUAUUUUUGAAGGAAAUUUUAGACUACUGCAUAUGGUGCUGCAGAUGACUCAUGAUUAUCCAUUCCGCGGAUUUUGUUGAAGAUAAUUAUGACAGAUAUCUUCAGUCUUUACUAUGCAAAGAUGUUGGUGAAAGUUAUUUGGAACAAAUUCUGGAUGUUGAAGAUUGAAAAAGAACAUUGCCUCUUCCUUGAUUGUUCUGCCCGUAGGAAAUGUGAUGUUAACCUAUUUUCUACUCUUGGGUGAUAUAUUUUUUAAAAAAUUGUUUUAAAUAUCUUGAAUGUCCUAAGAGUAGUUCAACCUGUAGAUUACGAUAUAAAUUAGAUACAAAAUGGAAACGAUUAACACCUGAAAACCGUUAUCUUGCCAUUCCCCCCCCCCAAGUAAUAAGGAUCUGCAUGUAACAUACUCAACAUAAUUUCAAUCCCAUUUUAAUCUGUUGAAACAAUACUUAAUGUGUGAAGCCUAUUGAUCGACAAUUUUAGGUAACCGAUUUUUGACAUCAUAGUUAAAUCGAAUAAUUUAAUGAGCUGUAUGUUUGUACUCCAAAACUGUAGACUUGUUUGUGGAUUUAGUGCACCACUUUAGAAUAUUGAGCUGUAAUUACAAUUCGAGGCACAUAUAAGGUGUAGUAAAUGAAAUCUUCCUCUUUAAGAGGAGAUAUGGGUUAGUGUUGAUUGCAGGUUUCAAUCCUGAAAUGAUCAAUGAGUACAGGGUUUCAUCCAGAUUUCCACAGCUGGGACCUCCUAUCUACAUUUGGAAGAAGGGUCUGCACUGAAACUUCAAAUAUCAAUACACGGUAUUUUAUUCUCAAUGAACAAAUACAACCAGACUAAGACAAACUUGUGGCGGAUUGUAAUGAGCGAGGAUAGAACCUGGCACCUUGUGGUUCGCAGCCGAGUAACAAGACCACAAGACAAAAGUAAUUACUCGUUUUUCGUACCUGUUAUCUGGCGUAUAAGCUUUCACCCCAAACUUCUCUUUUUGAAAACAAAGCUUUAUAUUUUUUAAAGGAACUAAAAUAGUGUAUUAAAAGAAAUUAGACAUAGUUAGCUAAUAUUUCAAUCUACGUAAAGUAGACUUUGGAGUAUUUCAUUUUCUGUUUUUAAUUUUAAAAGGCGUUUAGAAUGCAUCACAUAUUUUAAAUAUUAUAAAAUGUAUGCAAAUUACUUCAAGCAACUCUAAAUCACCACUCUCUCAAGACUCUGGAUUUACAGCCAAGUAAAUUUGAUCCUUAUAAGAGGUAUCAGUAAUUCCAUGCCUUUCCAUAUGUUUUACUGUUGAGUUUUAAAGAAACGCCAAGAUAAGGUCGUUCUGUUCGUAUGGCUAUUCAGCUUCCAUCAUGAAUAUUUAAUGUUAAAAUGACGUGCUACAGUCUUAAACUUUUAUUCGCCUACUAGUUAAGAACUUUGAAGAUUUCGUUUAAACUUCUUAAUCAUUUAGGAGACUAAGCAAAAAUUUAAAUAAAUCAGGAAAAUUUAGAGCAAUUUAUUUUUAAAUUAAUCAGACGCGCAGUCGCAUAUUAAUGUUAAAACUAAGUUGAUCGUUUCAUAGUUUGGAACAUUCGCUGUAGAUUAGGAAUACGAAAAUUUUAGUUACCAGAACAUUUUAAAAUCCAGGUUUCUUCCAUGUUCUG